UCUUGGUCAUUUAGAGGAAGUAAAAGUCGUAACAAGGUUUCCGUAGGUGAACCUGCGGAAGGAUCAUUAAUGAGUUUGCGCGGUCGCUGCUGGUUCUUACAAGUGCACACCGUGUCUUUCUUAUCCACCCCACUGUGCAUCCCGGUACGCUCUCGAGCGUAGUCCUUUUACACAAAACCAUUGUAAUUGAAUUAGAACGUGCGCGAUAAUAAAUAGUACAACUAUCAACAACGGAUCUCUUGGCAUCCCACUCGAUGAAGAACGCAGCGAAUUGCGAUAAGUAAUGUGAAUUGCAGAAUUCAGUGAAUCAUCGAAUCUUUGAACGCACCUUGCACCCUCUGGUAUUCCGGAGGGUAUGCCCGGUUGAGUAUUAUGAUCAACUCAAGCCUUUGGUUUUCUAAUUGCAAAGGUCGGAUGCUCGGCGAAGCCGUCUGUAGGGACGGUGGUAGCUGAAGUUCGACUUGGAAUUCCUAAUGGCAUUGGACUUGAGCGUGUGUCGGUCUCUAAUUAGAGAUCGGCUCGCUUGAAAUGCAUUAGCUGGCGACCCGCCUUACGGUUCCACUCGACGUAGUAAGUCUUAUUCGUUGAGGACACUUUCCAUUCGAAGGUGGCCGUUCGGUGUUGGUAUUAGAAGCCGCUUCUAAUCGUCUUAGGACAACGAUUUGAACGUUUAAUCUCAACUCGGGUAGGACUACCCGCUGAACUUAAGCAUAUCAAUAAGCGGAGG
rnacentral:rRNA from 1 species